CAUCACAUUGCUGACUCAUGUUGAGGUUGUGGUCCCUCGGCCCGCGCGGCUUCCCUCAGCCUCUAUUGGCCUGCAGUGGCGAACCGUGGCCAGUGGGAGUCGCGAUCGGCCAAACCUGCAGACGCAGCAGGCACUGGAAGUGACAGUUGAUGGGAGAGGAACAUGAGGCAGAAAAAUAUUUUGGACAGACAGUGUUGUAUCCUGGAUGGAUCAAAAAAACUAUUCAUCCACAAAGAGACAAGCAGAAGAUCAUGAAGAAUGGGCUACCAUGGUUUCAGACCUCCGGUAAUGGAAAUGCCACAAAAUUAUAAGUAUGCUCUUUUUAAUGCUACUCCUAAUGAUCUGCUGUUUAUUCUUUGAAGAGCAAUGUUUUGUCUCAGUCAGAGCUACGAGGAGUUUACUUAUUUGUAUUGUUGGUUGAUUGUUUGUUUUUACUGCUCUGUCCUUCUAUUACUUCUCCCCUGUGCUCUGCAUCAAGGGCACUACAUAAAUAAGUAUAAUGAUAAGGUUUACUUUAACUAGAAGGAAAGGAGAAUAGAGGAUACAGUUCUUAACUAGCUGUUUAUGCUGUUGAUUUCCUUUGAAAUAUUUGGAGGUUAAAAACAAAUCCAAGUGAAAGAAGAUUGCAAGCAUGGUGAUAAGACUGACUGCAAUCUUAUGACCAUGAAGAAAAAGUUUUGCAUUUCCUCUGAACUAGCUAAGUACAUUCCCCAUGCAACAAGUUAGCUCCCAGUUUUGGAGGUAGGGAACAUUCCUGGGGGCAUGUGUCAAAAGGCUUGGUGUAUUACCCUCCAAAGUAUUCAUAAAGGCUUCCCCAUACCAUGUUCUAGACCAAAUGUAGCUGAUAUAAAUUCCAUACCCUGUCUGUUAACCAUGGCACAUAAAGAGUCACUUAAAAGGAAUACUGCUAAAAAACAAAAUAAUUAACCAAAACCAAAAUAAUCCUACCCUGUGUAUGAAAGUUUUUGAUUUUUUCUAUGUGGGUAGUUUUUUGAAGCUAGAAAGGCACAAAAAAAUAAAAAGUCCCAAGACUUAAAAUAUGAACUUUUUUUAAACUUUAAGUUGUAACUGAUUACAAUUCAAACUCGAUAACAUUUAUUUAGAAACUCCCCAGAAAAUUCAAGUUUUACUCAGAUUAUAUGGUGAAAAUUUGGGGCAGAUAUCCUUUGUUUUUCAUACAAAACCACAGAGGCUGAACUCCUACUUUACAUGCACAAUAGAAGGCAGCAAAUGCGGCAUUGGAACAGUUGCACUAUUUUGUUUAGAACUAGGAAAUACAUGUGAAUUGGAGUGCUAUAGAGCCUCUGAAAAUGUCUUUUUUUGUUACAUAAAUUAUUUCAUCUAAAUACAGUGACUUACAACAAGUGAUAAGAUAUUUUUCCAACCAUGAUCCAUCCUUUUCCCCAAGUGUAUAUGCAUGAAAACACUUUGUGCUUUGAGUUUUGUAUGUGUUGACGUUUUUUAAAUACUGUUGCCACUUUUAGAUCCCUGUGGCUAGUCAAAGAUGGGCACUUUGGGGAUGUUCCAGUUGGAAGCAGAAAUUCAUGGCAUCUAGUAUUUGAUGCAAUCUUGUUGAUUUACAAGGAAUGUACAAAGUCCUGCUUCUCUGAAUGCAAGAGGAACCAAGAACUAAAGGAGCAGUUUCAUAGCUUAGCGUCCCAAGCGUCCAUAGCCAAUGUACAAUCUCUGCAUCAGCAUGAGACUUCCUGUGUGACCUGGGGCAAGUCAUUUAAUCUAUCCUGUGCUUCAAGUUCUCUAUUUGUAAAAUGAGGCUCAUAGUUUCCUAAAUCACAGCGAUGUUGAGGAGCACUCUACUACUACAAUCAUAAGAGCUAUAGAAGUAUUCGUGUGUUGGUUGCAAAGAUUGCAUGUGAAAAGAGAUUAGAUAAAAUAAUAGAAGAUAGAAGGAACAUAACCAAUGUGCUGCCUUUUUAUUAUGCAAGAAUAAAUUUGAAAAUACCUUUUCUUUAAUAUAUAAUUAUUAAUUUAUACUCUGUUAUGCCUUUAAUAUGAGUACCUCAAAAUAUUUUGCAAACUGGGUAAGUAGUAUUAUCCCAAUGUUAUUGAUUAU